GGCAUAAUAACGUCCGUCGGUGCCUGAUGGGGUGAAACCCUGAAGGCCUAACAGGGAACACAGAGAAACUGUGGCUGCCCCCGCAAUUGUACGCAGCGAGUCCGCGCUCCACUGCCACUGGUUUAUACCGGGAAGGCCGGCGCGGAUGGCGACCUGCCAGCCAAGAGACCUGCCGACGCAAUCAUCAACGC
rnacentral:ncRNA from 2 species